AGCGGGUAAUCCCGCCUGACCUGGGGUCGCGUCGAGAGCAUCGUCUUUGUGGACGACGUUCAGAGGGUCGAAAUGGGAGUCCUCGCUUGCUCGCUCGCUCGCUGGGAGGAGGUGCGCGGGCUGAGGUCGCGACGCGGUACCGAGGUUGGAUCAACCACCGUAGUGUCGCGACGUCCGGCGCCGGGGACUCGAAUUUAAGCCAUCCGCGCGACGGUGCGCACGGGAGGCCAGCGUGUGCCCCCGCCUGCGCAACGAACCCGAGUGGGGGGUUGCGGGGCCCCCCCGGCACGGAAGGUUUGUAAACGCGUUCGCGGGUCGUUUGAUGUUUAGGCAUCGACAAUGAUCCUUCCGCAGGUUCACCUACGGAAACCUUGUUACGACUUCUCCUUCCUCUAAAUGAUAAGGUUCAGUGGACUUCUCGCGACGUCGCGGGCAGCG
rnacentral:misc_RNA from 1 species